AAUGACAGACACACUCACUCUUCCCUGAAUAUGCCCUUGUUCUCAUUUUCUUGAGUUUGCAGAGGCUCUUCCCUCUCUCUGAUAUGCUUUUCCAAGGCCCUCUUCUAUUAAUUCUUCCUUGAUUUUUCAAAGUCUAAUUCCUGAAAUUCCAUACGAUUUAUUAUUUGAGUCAUGAGUAUUAUAAAGCACUUGGGAGAUUUUAGAAAAUGCACCUCGUCUCAAUCAACAGCACUAAAGGAAUUACAGAAGGCAAAUAGUCAAUCUUGAGUUGAUUUAGAGAUGAAGAAAGAGCCAUAUACUCCAGGGGCUCCAUGGGGCAGGGGGGCAGGUGUGUCUCGGGAGGAAGGAAAGGAGAGUGACUGGCUCUCCUCCCCACCCAGUCUUGCCCUUGAGGUGUGUGAACAGGGAGGUGGAUUUCACAUGGGUGAAUAUGUGCUCUCAAGAGACGUUGGAUCUUCUCCCAGAUCCCAAGAGGCCCUCUUCGCAGAAGAUGGUUCUACUCCAGAAAUUUUACAAAGGAGCAGCUUCUAGUAGAAACCACAGCUGUUAGAGUCACACAGGGAGCUCUUCUGCAUGGGGGCAAACACAAGGCGUAUUCAUACUGGACGAACUGUAGCUCAGUUCAAACACAUCCCCCACCACAUCUUCCCAUAUUCAGUGUUGAGAGUCCCAGAUUUCCAAAGGGAAUUUUCCUUGAAUGAAAUGUCAGGCCCUGCAGUGCAGUGGAGGGAGCAGGGCCUUCAGAUUAGAUGGGCCUGUGUUUUAAUUUUGACUGCGUCAUCUUGGGCAUGUGAAGCUCCUUGUGCCUUACUUACUUCAUCUACGAAACAGAACAGCAAUGCCAAUUGCAAGACUAUUGUGAGGAAUGCGGUGGCUUGCAAUAGAUGCUAAUUUUCUCUCCUUGACCAACAAAUAAAGGGUUUAUCCUCUUAAUUAUUCAUAUGAAAACAUUUGAUACAGAAGGCAGAUGCUUGCUUUUUGGAUCCUCUAUAUUUGGUGUGGAAGGCACCACUUGAGAGGUAACACUGUUCAGUCAGCUUCCUGCAACUUUGCCUGGACUAGCCUGCACACAUCCUGUUCACUGAUUCUCAUAAAUGUCUCUUUUCCAUGUGAUUCAGAGAAGUGACUAUGGUCUGAUUUUACAUCUUUGGUUUCAGCUAAGGUGUUUAUUUCAGGUUUGUUCUGCCUGGUAUCUGUCCAUCUGUCAAACAUUUAUUACACAGAGCGAAUGCCAGAAAACAUGGAGAGUGAAAAACAUGG